AUUAAUGGAAUUGGUAAUUGGGAGGUUGAUGCUGGCAGUGGCUGCAUGUGCUCGCUCCUAACAAUCUUCAUCCAAACACCUGUGCACAUUUAGAGAGGGUCUCCGAGUUCUCCUUGGAGUCCCUUCCUCUCAUUAUACACUAGUUUUUAAUAUUGAACGUGAUUGUGCCGUGAGGCCUUAAUAUUAAUACAACUUUUAACAACGGAUCUCUUGGCUCUCGCAUCGAUGAAGAACGCAGCGAAAUGCGAUAAGUAAUGUGAAUUGCAGAAUUCAGUGAAUCAUCGAAUUUUUGAACGCACCUUGCGCUCCCUGGUAUUCCGGGGAGCACGCCUGUUCGAGUGUCGUAAAAUUCUCAAACUGGGAUGCUUUUUUGUUUCUCGGCUUGGUGUUGGGCUUUGCAGUUCCUUUGAUUGGGAUAGCUGGCCUCAAAAGCAUUAGCUGGCUUUUCAUGUGGCAUUGGUUCUACUCAGCGUGAUAAUGAUCUGACCGCCGAGGACAUCUUUCGGGAUGGCCAAUUCUCAUCUGGGCUGCUUCUAAUUUUGGUAGAGCGGAUUCUGAAUCUGUUCCACUUUUUCAGCUUUUGACCUCGAAUCAGGUGGGACUACCCGCUGAACUUAAGCAUAUC
rnacentral:rRNA from 1 species